UACGUAGGGCGCAAGCGUUGUCCGGAAUUAUUGGGCGUAAAGAGCUCGUAGGCGGUUUGUCGCGUCUGCUGUGAAAACCUGAGGCUCAACCUCGGGCUUGCAGUGGGUACGGGCAGACUAGAGUGCGGUAGGGGUGACUGGAAUUCCUGGUGUAGCGGUGAAAUGCGCAGAUAUCAGGAGGAACACCGGUGGCGAAGGCGGGUCUCUGGGCCGAAACUGACGCUGAGGAGCGAAAGCGUGGGGAGCGAACAGG
rnacentral:rRNA from 1 species